rnacentral:rRNA from 1 species
UACGUAUGGGGCAAGCGUUAUCCGGAUUUACUGGGUGUAAAGGGAGCGUAGGCGGCCUGGCAAGCCUGAUGUGAAAUACCGGGGCCCAACCCCGGGGCUGCAUUGGGAACUGCCAGGCUGGAGUGCCGGAGAGGCAGGCGGAAUUCCUAGUGUAGCGGUGAAAUGCGUAGAUAUUAGGAGGAACACCAGUGGCGAAGGCGGCCUGCUGGACGGUGACUGACGCUGAGGCUCAAAAGCGUGGGGAGCAAACAGG